UAGACCUCAGAUCAGGCAAGAUCACCCGCUGAAUUUAAGCAUAUAAUUAAGCGGAGGAAAAGAAACUAACAAGGAUUCCCUCAGUAACGGCGAGUGAAGCGGGAAGUGCUCAAACUGAAAAUCCCCAUUCGGGGAAUUGUGGUAUGACGAAACAGGUUCGGUCGAUGUGCGCGGUGUAAGUUCUUUGGAACAUGACACGAUACAGGGUGAGAGUCCCGUCUAUCGCCGCAWGUCACACGAUAAACGAGCRGUUAUCGAUGAGUCGGGUUGCUUGGUCGUGCAGCCCUAAGUGGGUGGUAAAUUCCAUCUAAAGCUAAAUAUAGGCGAGAGACCGAUAGCGAAGAAGUACCGUGAGGGAAAGAUGAAAAGAACUUUGAAAAGAGAGUGAAAAAGUACUUGAAAUUGCUGCGGCGUAAGGGAUGACGGUUGGUAUGUGUAGCGUUGUAUUUACUGUCAUCAUGCAUAAGUAUGGUGCGGGUCCUGCAACGUGGCCAUGUGCGUGUGGGUUCGUACUCGUUCGGUWGAUGAGUGAGCUCUUUUCAGACGAACUUCAUUGAAAGAGCGUGUGCGGAUUGAGGAUAAAUGUUUGGGUUCUGACGAGRAUGUGCCUGUAUGUGGAGAACAACGUUCUGUGUGUACACUAAAGUUUUCGUUUCCCACGAUUAUUGACAUGCACGAGACGACCGUGAUUCACCCGUCUUGAAACACGGACCAAGGAGUCUAAGAUGUACGCGAGUUGGUUGGUGCGAAACCGACUGGCGCAAUGAAAGUAAUAUUUCGUAUCGGGCCAUCAGUGAAUGUGAGCCGGAGCGUAUAUGUUGGGACCCGAAAGAUGGUGAACUAUGCCUGAGCAAGGUGAAGCCAGGGGAAACUCUGGUGGAGGCCUGAAGCGAUACUGACGUGCAAAUCGUUCGUCUGACUUGGGUAUAGGGGCGAAAGACUAAUCGAACCAUCUAGUAGCUGGUUCCCUCCGAAGUUUCCCUCAGGAUAGCUGGAAUUGAAUACGUAGUUUUAUCCGGUAAAGCUAAUGAUUAGAGGCGUUUGGCGCAAAAUGCACUGAACCUAUUCUCAAACUUUAAAUGGGUAAGAAACGAUGUGUUUCUUAACGUUGAACCGUCGUAGUCGUGAAUACCAAUUCUUCGUGGGCCAUUUUUGGUAAGCAGAACUGGCGAUGCGGGAUGAUCCGGACGCUGAGUUAAGGUGCCUAAUUGCUCGCUCAUGUGGAUUCCAGGAAAGGUGUUGCCUCAUUUAGACAGCAGGACGGUGGCCAUGGAAGUCGGAAUCCGCUAAGGAGUGUGUAACAACUCACCUGCCGAAUGAAGUAGCCCUGAAAAUGGAUGGCGCUAAAGCGUGCRACCGAAACUCGGCCGUUUCGACAAAGYMAAGUUGAAACGAGUAGGAGGGCGUGGCGGUACUUGUGAAUCUUUUGGCGUAAGCCUGAGUGAAGGUGCCGCUAGUGCAGAUCUUGGUGGUAGUAGCAACUAUUCAAAUGUGAACUUUGAAGACUGAAGUGGAGCAAGGUUCCGUGUGAACAGUGAUUGGACACGGGUGAGUCGAUCCUAAUUGCGAACGUAUGGUUUUGCUAGCGAGAAAGGGAAUCAGGUUAAGAUUCCUGAACCUGUGCUACACUUUGCGUUGGCAACAAACGACGAUUUGGAGACGUUAGCGCGAGCCCUGGAGAGAGUUAUCUGUUCUUGUUAACCGUUUGUGGUUGUGCCCGGAAACUAGUUGUUAGGAGAUGGGGAUGAGCAACGGGUAAAGCACGUCGCUUUUGGCGUGUCCGGUGCGCUUGCGUUAGCCCUUGAAAAUCCAAAUCGUGUGUUCGGUGUAGCAGGUCGUACUGUAAACCGCAUCAGGUCUCCAAGGUGAACAGCCUCUAGUUUGUAGAAGAAGGUAGGUAAGGGAAGUCGGCAAAAUGGGUCCGUAACUUUGGGAAAAGGACUGGCUCUAAGGGUUGCGUGCGUAUUUGUGUGUGAGUGYUGGACCAGAUAUGUGGCGGUCUAACGAUUGUUGCACGUCGGUUYGGCCUUGCCUGCAGCGCACGAUUUCAACCGACUUAGAACUGGAGCGGACAAGGGGAAUCCGACUGUUUAAUUAAAACAAAGCAUUGCGAUGGUUUCAAGUAAAUGUUGACGCAAUGUGAUUUCUGCCCAGUGCUCUGAAUGUCAAGGUGAAGAAAUUCGCAGAAGCGCGGGUAAACGGCGGGAGUAACUAUGACUCUCUUAAGGUAGCCAAAUGCCUCGUC
rnacentral:rRNA from 1 species